rnacentral:antisense_RNA from 2 species
CUUGACGGAGCCCAGCAGCAGCGGCUGUCCGUCGGCGCGGUCCUGGCCAUAGGUGGCGAGCAGCGCCUGGGCCUC